CAGUCGCCGCGGGAAUACGUAGGUGGCAAGCGUUGUCCGGAAUUAUUGGGCGUAAAGGGCUCGCAGGCGGUUUCUUAAGUCUGAUGUGAAAGCCCCCGGCUCAACCGGGGAGGGUCAUUGGAAACUGGGAGACUUGAGUGCAGAAGAGGAGAGUGGAAUUCCACGUGUAGCGGUGAGAUGCGUAGAGAUGUGGAGGAACACCAGUGGCGAAGGCGACUCUCUGGUCUGUAACUGACGCUGAGGGGCGAAAGCGUGGGGAGCGGACAGGAUUAGAUACCCCGGUAGUCCCUGUCUCUUAUAC
rnacentral:rRNA from 1 species